CAUAUUUCGGCCACUCCGAUUCUGACGCUUACAGAGGUGACACGUUUUGAGAAUCAGGAUUAUUUUUUAAUAUAUUUUCAUUAAAGAAAUAUAUAAAUAAGCGCGAAAUAAAUCAAGAACACUUUGCAAUCGUUAUUAUAACAAAUUGUGGUGUUUUUGUUAAUCAAUUUUCUUGAAAAAAAAUUUUAUUUUUUAAAAUCACAAAAAACACUUUGUGUAAAUUGCAAGACUACAGUGUUUUUGUGCAUAUUAAUUUAAUUCUGGUGUUUUUAGUAAUUACUUUCUUUUAAGAAACAAUUUUACUUUUUAAAACCACAAAAAACACUUUGUAUAAAUUACAAGACUACAGUGUUUUUGUGCAUAUUUUAUUAAUUUUGGUGUUUUUAGUAAUUACUUUCUUUAAUAAACUUUCUGUUAAGAAACAAUUUUACCUUUUAAAAUCACAAAAAACACUUAGUGUAAAUUACAAGACUACAGUGUUUUUGUGAAUAUUUUAUUAAUUUUGGCGUUCUUAGUAAUUACUUUCUUUAAUAAACUUUCUUUUAAGAAACAAUUUUACUUUUUAAAAUCACAAAAAAAAAUAUGUAAAUAUUGCAAGACUACGGUGAUUUUGUGCAUAUUAUUUUAAGUCUGGUGUUUUUAGUAAUUACUUUCUUUAAUAAACUUUCUUUUAAGAAACAAUUUUACUUUUUAAAACCACAAAAAACACUGUGUAAAUUUCAAGACUACAGUGUUUUUGUGUGUAUUGUUUUAAUUUUGAUUAUCAAUUUUCGAAAUUGUGAUGGAUCGGGAGUGCAAGAUAACUAGAGCUUUGCAGGAAGUGCUGUCUUCUUCCUCGGGAAACGAGAGCAUUCGUUGCAUUUCAACGAAAAAUUCGAAGAAAAGAAAAAGAAGAGGAAAAAUCCUUCUCCUAUAUCAAAAAAAAAAAAUGACCAGUUUUUAGAAAAACUGAAGGCGUACAAUGAGGAAAAAGAAGAAAUCUUCCGAGAAAUUACGAAAAUAGGGGAUAGAAUCGAUGAAAUAAAUGAAGAAAAGAAUAGUUUAUAUAAAAAAAAACCAUUAUGGCAAAUAGGAAAUAAUUAUAAAAAAAAAUUGCCGGAAAUUGAAUAAAAAUUUCAAUAAAAUAGAAAUGUAAAUUACACAGAUAAGUAGAAUAUGUUUUACUUUUUUUUUCUAAACAUUUGAAUUAAUUAUUUUAAUAUAAAAAAAAAAUUAAAAAUAAAA